rnacentral:lncRNA from 1 species
CUCCGAGGAGCCCGCCCGCCUCUCCCGCUCCGCAUGUUGCAAUGCUGCUGGCUAAUCACUAUUUUUUUUUUUUUUUUAAUUUUUAAACUCCAUUCUUCCAAAGCAGUGCCUAAAGUUUAACCAAAAAGACUAAUAUAUUAAUAUAUACGAUUGUUCUGACAGUAUUUGUAUAUUAAGAGAUGUGAGAGAGAACACACUACCCUCCCAGAUCCGCAGCCCCGGGAGCUUGCUGCCGUUCGUGCCCUCUGCAGAGCAGAUCCUGCCCAGCCACUCGGACACAGCAAAGCAGAACCUGAAAACAGUUUUGUGUUUUUGAUCUAACCACUUAGCGACUCUUUUGUAAUUAAAACCUACCGGCUUCACCCCCGCACCUUGAAGGAGGAGAUGGCGCUGUCCCUGCGGCGUGCCCGGCUGGGAUGGAGGAGGACGCUGCCACGGGCUCCCCCGCCGCUCAGCACCGGGCAGCCCGAUCCGAUCCCCUGCACCACCCUGGAGCCACCCGGACCCUUCCACCUGCCCUCAGCACGGCAAAGGGGCUCUGCACCCCUCCCGAGCUGCCCCAGCUCCUUUCCUUGGCCUCCCGGCACAGCCCUGCCGCCGCCGCGGACCCGGUGCCCGACCAUGUCUUUUUCCAGUCCCACCAAAGAUGUCCCCUUGCCGCUGGGCGAGUUCCUCAGCUGGGUCUCCGACGUUAGCAGGUCGUGGAUCGGCUCGAGGGGAGCCCUGGACGCGGCAGCGCCUCGGCUGAGCUCAGCUGCGCAGACACGCUUCGCUGCGGAUGGCACCGGGCUCUCUGGGACGAGCACGGAGGGGCUGUCACCAGAGGCGGAGGAGCUGGAGAGGGCGCAGCAGCGGGGCGAGGGGACGGAGUGGCGGCUGGAGGUGCACGAGCAGCUGCUGGCCCUGCGGCACUGGCUGGACGCCGUGGAGAAGAGGCUGCCGGAGCCGGGCCCUGCGCUGCAGGUAUCGGGCUGGCCCCGGGCGAACGGCGGCCGGCAGAGCCAGGCAGGACCCAGCCCACGGUUCACAGAGGCUGGUGAGGUCUCGGUCCCCAAACGGGACAGCGCCUGGCUGCGGCUGGUGGCAACGACACGGCCCUGCCAACCUCCCCCUGGCACCGAGGGAGCAGGCAGGGGGCUGUGUCCCCACGGCGCUCACCCAGACCUGCCCAUGGCACGGCUGCGCCUCCGUACCCCACCGCCACCUCCUUUGGCUGCGGAGGGCUUGGAGCCUCGAGCCCCCACUGGCAGCCAGUCCCUGCCACCCCCUGCCCCUGGCUCAGCCCCGUCCUGCGUCCCCUGCAUCCAGCCAGGGCCGUGCAGCUGCGCAGGGAGGGCUGCACGCGCUGCCCAGCCGUGUCCCCGCCGUGUGCCCAUCUGCUCGCAGGGCCCUGCCAGCAGGGUGUGAGGCGUCCCCCUGGUGCGGGGCAGCAGCGGGAGCACCC